GACGAACGCUGGCGGCGUGCCUAAUACAUGCAAGUUGAGCGAUGAAGAUUGGUGCUUGCCCCAAUUUGAAGAGCAGCGAACGGGUGAGUAACGCGUGGGGAAUCUGCCUUUGAGCGGGGGACAACAUUUGGAAACGAAUGCUAAUACCGCAUAACAACUUUAAACAUAAGUUUUAAGUUUGAAAGAUGCAAUUGCAUCACUCAAAGAUGAUCCCGCGUUGUAUUAGCUAGUUGGUGAGGUAAAGGCUCACCAAGGCGAUGAUACAUAGCCGACCUGAGAGGGUGAUCGGCCACAUUGGGACUGAGACACGGCCCAAACUCCUACGGGAGGCAGCAGUAGGGAAUCUUCGGCAAUAGACGAAAGUCUGACCGAGCAACGCCGCGUGAGUGAAGAAGGUUUUCGGAUCGUAAAACUCUGUUGGUAGAGAAGAACGUUGGUGAGAGUGGAAAGCUCAUCAAGUGACGGUAACUACCCAGAAAGGGACGGCUAACUACGUG
rnacentral:rRNA from 1 species